rnacentral:tRNA from 1 species
AAGAUUUUAAGUUAAUAAAACUAUUUACCUUCAAAGUAUAAAAUAAAAAUUAAAUUUUUUUAAAUUUUA